GACAGAGGGGGCAAGCGUUGCUCGGAAUUACUGGGCGUAAGGACGGCGCGUGAGCGGGAUGGCAAGUCGGUCGUGAAAUCCCUCGGCUCAACCAAGGAAGUGCAUCCGAAACUGCCGAGCUUGAGUACUUAAGAGGAUCGCGGAAUUCCCGGUGUAGAGGUGAAAUUCGUAGAUAUCGGGAGGAACACCAGUGGCGAAGGCGGCGAUCUGGGAAGAUACUGACGCUGAGGUGCGAAAGCGUGGGGAGCGAACAGG
rnacentral:rRNA from 1 species